rnacentral:rRNA from 1 species
GAUGAACGCUGGCGGUAUGCUUAACACAUGCAAGUCGAACGGAAUCUUUCGGGAUUUAGUGGCGGACGGGUGAGUAACGCGUAAGAAUCUACCUUCAGGUUCGGGACAACCACUGGAAACGGUGGCUAAUACCGAAUGUGCCGAGAGGUGAAAGGCUUGCUGCCUGAAGAAGAGCUUGCGUCUGAUUAGCUAGUUGGUGGGGUAAGAGCCUACCAAGGCGACGAUCAGUAGCUGGUCUGAGAGGAUGAUCAGCCACACUGGGACUGAGACACGGCCCUGACUCCUACGGGAGGCAGCAGUGGGGAAUUUUCCGCAAUGGGCGAAAGCCUGACGGAGCAAUACCGCGUGAGGGAGGAAGGCUCUUGGGUUGUAAACCUCUUUUCUCAGGGAAGAAAAAAAUGACGGUACCUGAGGAAUAAGCAUCGGCUAACUCCGUGCCAGCAGCCGCGGUAAUACGGAGGAUGCAAGCGUUAUCCGGAAUGAUUGGGCGUAAAGGGUCCGCAGGUGGCAUUGUAAGUCUGCUGUUAAAGAGUCUGGCUCAACCAGAUCAAAGCAGUGGAAACUACAAAGCUAGAGUAUGGUCGGGGCAGAGGGAAUUCCUGGUGUAGCGGUGAAAUGCGUAGAUAUCAGGAAGAACACCGGUGGCGAAGGCGCUCUGCUAGGCCAAAACUGACACUGAGGGACGAAAGCUAGGGGAGCGAAUGGGAUUAGAUACCCCAGUAGUCCUAGCCGUAAACGAUGGAUACUAGGCGUAGCUCGUAUCGACCCGAGCUGUGCCGUAGCUAACGCGUUAAGUAUCCCGCCUGGGGAGUACGCAGGCAACUGUGAAACUCAAAGGAAUUGACGGGGGCCCGCACAAGCGGUGGAGUAUGUGGUUUAAUUCGAUGCAACGCGAAGAACCUUACCAAGACUUGACAUGUCACGAAUUCUAUUGAAAGAUGGAAGUGCCUUAGGGAGCGUGAACACAGGUGGUGCAUGGCUGUCGUCAGCUCGUGUCGUGAGAUGUUGGGUUAAGUCCCGCAACGAGCGCAACCCUCGUUUUUAGUUGCCAGCAUUAAGUUGGGCACUCUAGAGAGACUGCCGGUGACAAACCGGAGGAAGGUGGGGAUGACGUCAAGUCAGCAUGCCCCUUACGUCUUGGGCUACACACGUACUACAAUGCUCCGGACAAAGGGCAGCUACACAGCGAUGUGAUGCGAAUCUCAUAAACCGGAGCUCAGUUCAGAUCGAAGGCUGCAACUCGCCUUCGUGAAGGAGGAAUCGCUAGUAAUUGCAGGUCAGCAUACUGCAGUGAAUUCGUUCCCGGGCCUUGUACACACCGCCCGUCACACCAUGGAAGUUGGUCACGCCCGAAGUCGUUACCCCAACCGCAAGGAGGGGGAUGCCUAAGGUAGGACUGAUGACUGGGGUGAAGUCGUAACAAGGUAGCCGUACCGGAAGGUGUGGCUGGAUCACCUCCUUUUAGGGAGACCUAAUCCAUUUAGAAUUUCGAGAGCAAUGAAAAUUGCUAAUAGAGCCUAAAUUGGUCUAACCUAGGUCGGUCGAGAUUGGGAUAAAUCUUUCAAAGUAUUAUUUGCCUUAGUCCAAGUUCACAAAUUGAAUUUUGAAUUUUUACUGAAUCAAAGUCAGCACCUAACAAUAAUAGUUAGACUGCUGGGUUAAAUUCCAGCCAGAACCUUGAAAACUGCAUAAGAGAAAGAGAAUUAGCAGAGCAGACGUGAAACAUGAGAAUGUUUCAUCAAAGCAGACAAAAAGAAAUGUGGUCAAGUUAAUAAGGGCUAAUGGUGGAU